rnacentral:rRNA from 1 species
CGUAACACGUGUGCAACCUGCCUUUAUCUGGGGGAUAGCCUUUCGAAAGGAAGAUUAAUACUCCAUAAUAUAUUGAACGGCAUCGUUUAAUAUUGAAAGCUCCGGCGGAUAGAGAUGGGCACGCGCAAGAUUAGCUAGUUGGUGAGGUAACGGCUCACCAAGGCGAUGAUCUUUAGGGGGCCUGAGAGGGUGAUCCCCCACACUGGUACUGAGACACGGACCAG